ensembl:snRNA U6 U6 spliceosomal RNA
GUGCUCAUUUUGGCAGCACAUAUACUAAAAUUGGAACGAUACGGAGAAGAUUAGCAUGGCUCCUGCGCAA